rnacentral:rRNA from 1 species
GAGUUUGAUCCUGGCUCAGGACGAACGCUGGCGGCGUGCCUAAUACAUGCAAGUCGAGCGAAUCAAUGGGAGCUUGCUCCCUGAGAUUAGCGGCGGACGGGUGAGUAACACGUGGGUAACCUGCCUGUAAGACUGGGAUAACUCCGGGAAACCGGGGCUAAUACCGGAUAAUAUCUAGAAUCGCAUGAUUCUAGAUUGAAAGAUGGUUUCGGCUAUCACUUACAGAUGGACCCGCGGCGCAUUAGCUAGUUGGUGAGGUAACGGCUCACCAAGGCAACGAUGCGUAGCCGACCUGAGAGGGUGAUCGGCCACACUGGGACUGAGACACGGCCCAGACUCCUACGGGAGGCAGCAGAAGGGAAUCUUCGGCAAUGGACGAAAGUCUGACCGAGCAACGCCGCGUGAGUGAAGAAGGUUUUCGGAUCGUAAAACUCUGUUGUUAAGGAAGAACAAGUACGAGAGUAACUGCUCGUACCUUGACGGUACUUAACCAGAAAGCCACGGCUAACUACGUGCCAGCAGCCGCGGUAAUACGUAGGUGGCAAGCGUUGUCCGGAAUUAUUGGGCGUAAAGCGCGCGCAGGCGGUUCCUUAAGUCUGAUGUGAAAGCCCACAGCUCAACCGUGGAGGGUCAUUGGAAACUGGGGAACUUGAGUGCAGAAGAGGAGAGUGGAAUUCCACGUGUAGCGGUGAAAUGCGUAGAGAUGUGGAGGAACACCAGUGGCGAAGGCGACUCUCUGGUCUGUAACUGACGCUGAGGCGCGAAAGCGUGGGGAGCGAACAGGAUUAGAUACCCUGGUAGUCCACGCCGUAAACGAUGAGUGCUAAGUGUUAGAGGGUUUCCGCCCUUUAGUGCUGCAGCAAACGCAUCCAGCACUCCGGCUGGGGAGUACGGUCGCAAGACUGAAACUCAAAGGAAUUGAC